GAUGAACGCUGGCGGCGUGCUUAACACAUGCAAGUCGAACGGAAAGGCCCAAGCUUGCUUGGGUACUCGAGUGGCGAACGGGUGAGUAACACGUGGGUGAUCUGCCCUGCACUUCGGGAUAAGCCUGGGAAACUGGGUCUAAUACCGGAUAGGACCACUUCUUGGAUGUUGUGGUGGAAAGUUUUUUCGGUGUGGGAUGAGCUCGCGGCCUAUCAGCUUGUUGGUGGGGUAAUGGCCUACCAAGGCGUCGACGGGUAGCCGGCCUGAGAGGGUGUACGGCCACAUUGGGACUGAGAGACGGCCCAGACGCCUACGGGAGGCAGCAGUGGGGAAUAGUGCACAAUGGGCGCAAGCCUGAUGCAGCGACGCCGCGUGGGGGAUGACGGCCUUCGGGUUGUAAACUCCUUUCGCUAGGGACGAAGCGUUUUGUGACGGUACCUGGAGAAGAAGCACCGGCUAACUACGUG
rnacentral:rRNA from 1 species